GGGGAAUAUUGCACAAUGGAGGAAACUCUGAUGCAGCGACGCCGCGUGAGUGAAGAAGGUCUUCGGAUCGUAAAACUCUGUCCUUGGUGACGAAAAAAAUGACGGUAGCCAAGGAGGAAGCCCCGGCUAACUACGUGCCAGCAGCCGCGGUAAUACGUAGGGGGCGAGCGUUGUCCGGAUUUACUGGGCGUAAAGGGUGAGUAGGCGGCCUUGCAAGUCAGAUGUGAAAUCCAACGGCUUAACCGUUGAACUGCAUUUGAAACUGCAAGGCUAGAGUAUGGGAGAGGUAGGUGGAAUUCUCGGUGUAGGGGUAAAAUCCGUAGAGAUCGAGAGGAAUACUCAUUGCGAAGGCGACCUGCUGGAACAUUACUGACGCUGAGGUGCGAAAGCGUGGGGAGCAAACA
rnacentral:rRNA from 1 species